rnacentral:rRNA from 1 species
GAUGAACGCUGGCGGCGUGCUUAACACAUGCAAGUCGAACGAUGACGCCCAGCUUGCUGGGUGGGUUAGUGGCGAACGGGUGAGUAACACGUGAGUACCCUGCCCUUAACUCUGGGAUAAGCCUGGGAAACUGGGUCUAUUACCCGAUAGGAGCGUCCACCGCAGGGUGGGUGUUGGAAGGAUGUAUCGGUUUUGGAUGGCCUCGCGGCCUAUCAGCUUGUUGGUGAGGUAAUGGCUCACCAAGGCGACGACGGGUAGCCGGCCUGAGAGGGUGACCGGCCACACUGGGACUGAGAGACGGCGCAGACUCCUACGGGAGGCAGCAGUGGGGAAUAUUGCACAAUGGGCGCAAGCCUGAUGCAGCGACGCCGCGUGAGGGAUGACGGCCUUCGGGUUAUAAACCUCUUUCAGUAGAGAAGAAGCGAAAGUGACGGUACCUGAAGAAGAAGCACCGGCUAACUACGUG